UAGAGAGUAGUAUAAAGGUAAAACAAAGAAUUUUGAUUUCUUAGACAUAAGUUCAACUCUUAUCUCUCUAA
rnacentral:tRNA from 1 species